CGGAUUACGUGAGUCUAGGGAUCACCGCCAAUCGACGGCGAUAUGGAUGGUGGAGAGUUUUUCUCAUCUGGUGAAUGGGAGGUUUAUGCCUCUAUUUCCGGUGGGUCGCGAAGCAGAGGCGGCGGAGGGUUUCAAAGCAGGCGAUAGAGGGUCAUGAAGAAGGCAAUCGGCGAGUUAGAGGCGGUGGGCGGCGGACGGUGGGCGGCUGAAGAAGGACGGUAAUUUGGUUUUGGUGGUGGUGACGUGAAGAAGAUGAA
rnacentral:lncRNA from 1 species